rnacentral:rRNA from 1 species
CUACGGGGUGCUGCAGUGGGGAAUAUUGCACAAUGGGCGCAAGCCUGAUGCAGCAACGCCGCGUGAGGGAUGAAGGCCUUCGGGUUGUAAACCUCUUUUAGCAGGGAAGAAGCGAAAGUGACGGUACCUGCAGAAAAAGCACCGGCUAACUACGUGCCAGCAGCCGCGGUAAUACGUAGGGUGCAAGCGUUGUCCGGAAUUAUUGGGCGUAAAGAGCUCGUAGGCGGUUUGUCACGUCUGCUGUGAAAAUCCAAGGCUCAACCUUGGGCUUGCAGUGGGUACGGGCAGGCUAGAGUGCGGUAGGGGAGAUGGGAAUUCCUGGUGUAGCGGUGGUAUGCGCAGAUAUCAGGAGGAACACCAAUGGCGAAGGCACAUCUCUGGGCCGUAACUGACGCUGAGGAGCGAAAGCGUGGGGAGCGAACAGGAUUAGAUACCCGAGUAGUC